GAACCGGUGACCUGCCCCCCCCAAACAGUUGCAGCACAGUGUCAGUGUGAAUCAGCUGAAAAAACCCCUGUAAACUUAAGCCAAUAGGAGCAGAGUGUGGGCGGGGCUUGGUACCUGAAGAAUGAAACAAGUUUCUGCUCAACCGGUUAGUGACAGCCUUCACCUGUCUGCUCCAGACUGAACGUGUGACAAAUCUGGUGUCACAAAACUGAAAAAUAAGAAAUCGAGUUCUGAAGAGAGUGAAUUAUUAUUAGAUAUUUUCAGACAAAAUAUUUAUUUUGCAAUAAAAGUCAAUACAAACGUUUCGCAUUUUGCAAACUCCACUAUUAUUAUCAUUAACUACAGUCAAGCUGCUUUCGAGACGCAUAACAAUAAAAUAAACAAAAAUGAACAAAUAAACACAACAACAUAAUUUGGCUCCAGAACAAGCUACAUAUACUAUGUGAACUCGUCCACAUUGUUUGUUGUGUUGUAAAACAGCUUCAUCAACCUAACGACACAAGAGUCUUUUAUCUGAUUCCUCCUGCUAACUUACUUCUCUCCGUGUCUCACUGGAUCUCACACUGUCUGCCGGCCUUCGUCCUCUGCGGCUGCCUGAUGCUCCCUCCUCCUCCUCAGUCAUCACCAGAGAGACUCUUCAGGAUGAAAAAAUGAGCACCGUGCAUGUGAAGUCCCUGAGAGACUGGUGUCAACCCACCUGAAGGACAUCACCUGCUGGACCUCCUGUUCUAGUUUAGGAGGUUCAAUCCAGUUUGGCUCUGGAAUAAUCUGGUCUGUCCUCUGUCCUCUGUGUCACACCACCACACGGCAUGGAAAUGGAUGACACUGACAGUCAGGCCUGCAGAUCAACUGUCCCCCAUCCGGGAUUUGACUACAUGUCCAGAAUCAGGAAACAUCAGUGCAGAUCGUUACACACAGGACACAACCUGUUCCUGCGUCUCCCCUUUGGGAGGCGCUAUGGAGCUCUGUACUCCUGAACUACCACAGGUGGUGUUUUUACUGUUUUCAACAUGUGCAAAUUAUCAUGAAGGCCUGUUUUAUCUUAUCACAACCAUGUAAACACUCAUCGUCACGUUCAGUGUGUGACUUGUUCACGACACACAGAAACACCGGACUUGUACAUGUGAAGCAGACCAGAGUGUUCUUCACCUCAUCGCUUCAAUCUUUGUUGUCAUCGUGGCUGUGUGUUCAUGUGUCAGACAUUAGGCUGACUUUGAGUCGGGGGUUCAGGUGUUACUGAGGGAGGUGGAGCUCCACAGAGAACGAACAGGGAGAGAGAGGGAGUGUCGGCAGGUAGAACAGGUUUGGGCGAGGCGGUCAAGCAAGCUUCAAUCACACAGUGAAAAGGAGGGAGAGUCAGAAGCAGAGAAACUGAUUUUUAUGGCUUUCUUCAGUUUGUGGCUGUAACACAGAGUCCUCAGCAGCAGAGAAGGAGAAGAGGAACGAAAACGAAAGUCUGCACUUUGUUCUGAAGAAACAAGAUUCAGGAAGAAGAAAGAGGUGAACCUGCGUACCUUUGAACAGAAAGGUCUCGUGCUCUGCCUCGUGCCCUCUGAUUGGCCGGCCGCCUGACUGGUUGAUUGCCGGAUCAUCUUUAGCCCUGCCCCCUCGUGAGGAGCUGUCAUGUCAUCAAGCAUCAACGUCUCCCUGGAGAACCCGUACGGUGACGUGACCAUACCCCGGGCUAAGCUCCGCCCUUCUGACGACAUCGGCACAGUUAUAGCCAAUCCAAUGACUCUGAGCAGUAAUGACGGGAACCCGUAUGCCACGUCGAGCUCCGCCCCCCCACCGCCAUAUGUAGUGAAGGAGGCUGGAGGGGAGGAGGAGGAGGGGAGGAACCCUGUCUGCUGUUACCGCUGCAGGAGGAGGAAGUGAUGUCACAGCUGCUGGAAGAUUGUGAUUGGCUGGGGUAUAUUUAUUUCCCAGUCUUUUUAAGUUGACAUUUUCAUCAUUUCACCAAGGAAACAAGAAAGGAGUCAAGAAAGCAACUGAGGAAAUGAAGAAGGCGAAAGCAGAAACAGAGAAAUAAAUGAAGAAAUAAAGAGAAAGAAAAUGUAAAACUACAGAAGGAAGAAAAGGAAUGACGUAAGGAAAGAAAUUAAGGAGAGGUCAUGAACACGAAGUUUCUCAUGAUGGAUCCCACUGCUUCCCUUGGAGACCACCUGCCCUGCUGCGCCUCUGAUUGGUAAUCCCUGAUGUCCUUUCUUCUUCAUGUGUAAACCUGACCAAUCCAGCCAACCAAGGCAACCAAUCAGACGCUGAGUAGGACCUGGCUGAUGGGACUCAUAAUAAUGCACUGUUUCCGCAGGGCGGCCAUUUUGUGUCUCUAACAGCUCAAAAUUUCAAAAACAAAUGCAAACACCCGCAGACACUGAUGAAGCAUGAAUCAUUUUAACAUUUAAGAAACUCAACAAUCAUAACAGUGUACGCAAUAAAUGCAGUUUUUAUUGCUUUUAUUUUGAUUGCAUUCAGUCGGUGUACUUUAAAGUCCUAGUUACAAAGCAGUAUUGUUAUUGAUAUUUUGUGUGAUUAUAUAUAAAUGACAGGACACAAAAUGGCCGCUGCUGAUGUUCCAGGUUUAUUUGUCAGUAGUUUCCACAGCAACAUAAGAUGAUGAGUUGCUUUGCUGCAGUUUGUGACAUCAUCAUGACAUCACACUGUAUUUUGUAGAUGUAUUUUUACAUCUCUCAGAGUAAAUAUUGAAUUUUUAUUGAUUUAUUAUUGGGAAAACUUAACAGUUUGUUUUUCCGGAGACGUUUUUGAUCACAGCGUCUGCAUCUGUUUCGCCGGGAAACAGGAAACAUGCUGUCAGAUCAGAAGAUCAGGAGGAAGAUUUUCACCAGGAAACUAUUAUAUUACUAUAAUAGUUUCCUAUUAUAUUAUAUUAUAUAAAAAAACAGAAAAAAACAACAAUCUGUUUCUGUUUAUCAAGAAAAUGACAAGUAAACUAUCUAAAAAUCAAGUGUUUCUACAAACUGAUGAAAUUCACUGAAACAAAUUUAUUUUCGAUUUAGUUUUUAUUGGUUUAUUCUUUGAACACAUUCUGCUUGUGAGGUGAGACGUUUCUGUAUUUUAUACAUAUUUUAUAUUUUAUUCACUUUUCCUUCCUCAUAGGAACUUAUUCUGGAGUUUCUUGCACAUAUUUAUGUUUUAUUCAUAACAAUAGUUAGAACAUGUUAAUAUGAAGGUAUUUUUAAGCAUAAAUGCAAGUAAAUAAAAUUUUACAUAAUGACAAUAAUAUGUGUAAGGAAACAAGAAAAUAUGAAACUGUUAAUUUGGUGUAAAAUGAUUUUUUUGUACAUUUAGAAUUUAUGAAAUAAAGAUAAUGAACAUUUCAUAUCCGAA